GUAGCUCAGUUGUAGAGCUCUUGCCUUGCAUGCAUGAGGCCCUGGGUUCGAUUCCUCAGC
rnacentral:tRNA from 1 species